CAAUAGAUAGUUUAAUUAAAAUAUUAACUUUGGAAGUUAAAGAUGAUAAUAAUAUUAUUUCUGUUGA
rnacentral:tRNA from 1 species